CGCACAUUGCGCCCUCUGGUAUUCCGGAGGGCAUGCCUGUUCGAGCGUCAUUUCAACCCUCAAGCAUUGCUUGGUGUUGGGGCACCGCCUGUAAAAGGGCGGGCCCUGAAAUCUAGUGGCGAGCUCGCCAGGACCCCGAGCGUAGUAGUUACAUCUCGCUCUGGAAGGCCCUGGCGGUGCCCUGCCGUUAAACCCCCAACUUCUGAAAUUUUGACCUCGGAUCAGGUAGGAAUACCCGCUGAACUUAA
rnacentral:misc_RNA from 1 species